rnacentral:rRNA from 1 species
AUGCCUCUGUCUGAUAGGCGGUUGAAGCUCGUUGACUUCCAAGACCUGCUUGACAAGUUAAUUAAGAAGAUUGCUGGUUGGAAGGCUAGGUGGAUCUCCUCCACUGGAAGAAUGGUGUUCGUGAGGUUUGUUCUUUCGGCAAUGCCAAUUUUCCUGCUUCUGGCUGUUCAUCAACCGAAAUGGGUCAUCAAGCAAAUCGAUAAGCUACGUCGUGCUUUUUUAUGGUUUGGCUCUGAUGCUGUCUGCGGUGGCACGUGCCUUGUCCGCUAG